rnacentral:rRNA from 1 species
AGAGUUUGAUCCUGGCUCAGAUUGAACGCUGGCGGAAUGCUUUACACAUGCAAGUCGAGCGGCAGCGCGGGGCAACCUGGCGGCGAGCGGCGAACGGGUGAGUAAUGCAUCGGAACAUGUCCAUGUCGUGGGGGAUAGCCCGGCGAAAGCCGGAUUAAUACCGCAUAAGCUCGAGAGAGGAAAGCAGCAAUGCGCUGGAAGAGGAGUCCGCGGCCGAUUAGCUAGUUGGUAGGGUAAAAGCCUACCAAGGCUACGAUCGGUAGCCGGCCUGAGAGGGCACACGGCCACACUGGCACUGAAACACGGGCCAGACUCCUACGGGAGGCAGCAGUGGGGAAUCUUGCACAAUGGGGGCAACCCUGAUGCAGCGACGCCGCGUGAGCGAUGAAGCCCUUCGGGGUGUAAAGCUCUUUCGGCAGGGAAGAUUAUGACGGUACCUGCAGAAGCAGCUGCGGCUAACUACGUGCCAGCAGCCGCGGUAAUACGUAGGCAGCAAGCGUUGUUCGGAGUUACUGGGCGUAAAGGGUGUGUAGGCGGUUCUCUAAGUCUGGUGUGAAAUCUCCCGGCUCAACUGGGAGGGUGCGCCGAAAACUGGAGGACUAGAGUGCGGGAUGGGAGAGUGGAAUUCCUGGUGUAGCGGUGAAAUGCGUAGAUAUCAGGAGGAACACCUGUGGUGUAGACGGCUCUCUGGACCGCAACUGACGCUGAGACACGAAAGCGUGGGUAGCAAACAGGAUUAGAUACCCUAGUAGUCC